rnacentral:rRNA from 1 species
CCAAUAGCGUAUAUUAAAGUUGUUGCAGUUAAAAAGCUCGUAGUUGAAUUUCGGGGUUAGUACGCUGGUCAUGCCUUUGGUAUGUACUGGUGUUACCGAUUCCUACCUUCUGAAGAACCGUCAUGUCAUUAAUUUGGUGUGGCGGGGAAUCAGGACUGUUUCUUUGAAAAAAUUAGAGUGUUUAAAGCAGGCUCGCGCUUGAAUACAUUAGCAUGGAAUAAUGAAAUAGGACGUUCGAUCCUAUUUUGUUGGUUUCUAAGAUUGACGUAAUGAUUAAUAGGGAUAGUUGGGGGCAUUAGUAUUCAAUUGUCAGAGGUGAAAUUCUUGGAUUUAUUGAAGACUAACUACUGCGAAAGCAUUUGCCAAGGAUGUUUUCAUUAAUCAAGAACGAAAGUUAGGGGAUCGAAGGCGAUCAGAUACCGUCGUAGUCUUAACCAUAAACUAUGCCGACUAGGGAUCGGAUGAUGUUAUUUUUAAUGACUCAUUCGGCGCCUUACG